UACAGAGGUCCCAAGCGUUGUUCGGAUUCACUGGGCGUAAAGGGUGCGUAGGCGGUCGGGUAAGUCGGGUGUGAAAACUCCGGGCUCAACUCGGAGACGCCACUCGAUACUGCCAUGACUCGAGUCCGGUAGGGGAGUGCGGAAUUCCUGGUGUAGCGGUGAAAUGCGCAGAUAUCAGGAGGAACACCGGUGGCGAAGGCGGCACUCUGGGCCGGUACUGACGCUGAGGAGCGAAAGCGUGGGGAGCGA
rnacentral:rRNA from 1 species